GACGAACGCUGGCGGCGUGCCUAAUACAUGCAAGUCGAGCGGAUCUUCAUUAGCUUGCUUUUGAAGAUCAGCGGCGGACGGGUGAGUAACACGUGGGCAACCUGCCUGUAAGACUGGGAUAACUUCGGGAAACCGGAGCUAAUACCGGAUAAUCCUUUUCCUCUCAUGGGGAAAAGCUGAAAGACGGUUUCGGCUGUCACUUACAGAUGGGCCCGCGGCGCAUUAGCUAGUUGGUGAGGUAACGGCUCACCAAGGCGACGAUGCGUAGCCGACCUGAGAGGGUGCUCGGCCACACUGGGACGGAGACACGGCCCAGACUCCUACGGGAGGCAGCAGUAGGGAAUCUUCCGCAAUGGACGAAAGUCUGACGGAGCAACGCCGCGUGAGCGAUGAAGGCCUUCGGGUCGUAAAGCUCUGUUGUCAGGGAAGAACAAGUACCGGAGUAACUGCCGGUACCUUGACGGUACCUGACCAGAAAGCCACGGCUAACUACGUGCCAGCCGCCGCAGUAACAC
rnacentral:rRNA from 1 species